rnacentral:rRNA from 1 species
ACAGCAGUCGCCACGGUAAAACGAAGGGUGCAAGCGUUAAUCGGAAUUACUGGGCGUAAAGCGUGCGCAGGCGGUUAUGCAAGACAGAUGUGAAAUCCCCGGGCUUAACCUGGGAACUGCAUUUGUGACUGCAUGGCUAGAGUGCGGCAGAGGGGGAUGGAAUUCCGCGUGUAGCAGUGAAAUGCGUAGAUAUGCGGAGCAACACCGAUGGCGAAGGCAAUCCCCCGGGCCUGCACUGACGCUCAUGCACGACAGCGUGGGGAGCAAACAGGAUUAGAUACCCGUGUAGUCCCUGUCUCUUAUAC